rnacentral:rRNA from 1 species
AUUGAACGCUGGCGGCAGGCUUAACACAUGCAAGUCGAGCGGAGAUGAGGUGCUUGCACCUUAUCUUAGCGGCGGACGGGUGAGUAAUGCUUAGGAAUCUGCCUAUUAAUGGGGGACAACAUUCCGAAAGGAAUGCUAAUACCGCAUACGUCCUACGGGAGAAAGCAGGGGAUCUUCGGACCUUGCGCUAACAGAUGAGCCUAAGUCGGAUUAGCUAGUUGGUGGGGUAAAGGCCUACCAAGGCGACGAUCUGUAGCGGGUCUGGGAGGAUGAUCCGCCACACUGGGACUGAGACACGGCCCAGACUCCUACGGGAGGCAGCAGUGGGGAAUAUUGGACAAUGGGGGGAACCCCGAUCCAGCCAUGCCGCGUGUGUGAAGAAGGCCUUAUGGUUGUAAAGCACUUUAAGCGAGGAGGAGGCUACUGAGACUAAUACUCUUGGAUAGUGGACGUUACUCGCAGAAUAAGCACCGGCUAACUCUGUGCCAGCCGCCGCCGUAAUAC